rnacentral:rRNA from 1 species
AUUGAACGCUGGCGGCAUGCUUUACACAUGCAAGUCGAACGGUAACAGGCCGCAAGGUGCUGACGAGUGGCGAACGGGUGAGUAAUGCAUCGGAACGUGCCCAGUCGUGGGGGAUAACUACUCGAAAGAGUAGCUAAUACCGCAUACGAUCUAUGGAUGAAAGCGGGGGACCGUAAGGCCUCGCGCGAUUGGAGCGGCCGAUGUCAGAUUAGGUAGUUGGUGGGGUAAAGGCUCACCAAGCCAACGAUCUGUAGCUGGUCUGAGAGGACGACCAGCCACACUGGGACUGAGACACGGCCCAGACUCCUACGGGAGGCAGCAGUGGGGAAUUUUGGACAAUGGGCGCAAGCCUGAUCCAGCAAUGCCGCGUGCAGGAAGAAGGCCUUCGGGUUGUAAACUGCUUUUGUAUGGAACGAAACGGCUCUGGUUAAUACCCGGGGCUAAUGACGGUACCGUAAGAAUAAGCACCGGCUAACUACGUG